rnacentral:rRNA from 1 species
GUUGUCCGGAUUUAUUGGGCGUAAAGAGCGUGUAGGCGGCCGUGUAGGUCCGUUGUGAAAACUCGAGGCUCAACCUCGAGACGUCGAUGGAAACCACACGGCUAGAGUCCGGAAGAGGAGAGUGGAAUUCCUGGUGUAGCGGUGAAAUGCGUAGAUAUCAAGUGGAACACCAGUGGCGAAGGCGAGUCCCUGGACAACUCCUGACACUGAGGCACGAAAGCUAGGGGAGCAAACAGG